UGAGGUAGUAGGUAGCA
rnacentral:miRNA from 1 species